rnacentral:tRNA from 1 species
AGGAUAUUAGUUAAAAAAUAACAUUUAUUUUGCAUAUAAAAAUUAUUUUAUAUAAAUUAUAUCUUU